AGGAGGACUGGCUCCUGCAUUGCAGCUCUUCUGUUCCCACUGGGCUUGAUUCUCAUCUCCUUCACGAGUGUCCCAGGACCUGGAGCAACAGUUCAACCUUAGUCCAUGCUACGCUCUGUCCCCGAGGCGGCGAGAAGGCAGCCCUGUGACUCUGCGAUGAGAAGCCUGGGUCCUGGUCCAAGAUGGAAGAUACUCUAUUUGGGCAAUAUUAUCACCAUCAUCUACUAUGAUCCAUGCCUGUGGGAAGACAUUUUUAAAAAGAAAAUGCUGUGGCUCAUUUACAUAUAUGAUGAACAGUAUUUCAUUAUUGAAAAUAAUCCAAAACAAAAAAUUGC